rnacentral:rRNA from 1 species
CUUAGCGGCGGACGGGUGAGUAACGCGUGGGUAACCUGCCUCAUACAGGGGGAUAACAGUUAGAAAUGACUGCUAAUACCGCAUAAGCGCACAGGACCGCAUGGUCCGGUGUGAAAAACUCCGGUGGUAUGAGAUGGACCCGCGUCUGAUUAGCUGGUUGGCGGGGUAACGGCCCACCAAGGCGACGAUCAGUAGCCGACCUGAGAGGGUGGCCGGCCACAUUGGGACUGAGACACGGCCCAAACUCCUACGGAAGGCAGCAG